GAUGAAGAACGUAGCGAAAUGCGAUACGUCAUGUGAAUUGCAGAAUUCAGUGAAUCAUCGAAUCUUUGAACGCAUAUUGCGCUCUCUGGUAUUCCGGAGAGCAUGCUUGUUUGAUUAUCAGUAAACACCUCAACUUCCAUAUCUUUUUUGAAAUGGGAGUUGGACUUGAGUGAUCCCAACGCUUUUCCUCACCGAAAAGUGGCGGGUUACUUGAAAUGCAGGUGCAGCUGGACUUUUCUCUGAGCUAUAAGCAUAUCUAUUUAGUCUGCCUAAAAAACAGAUUAUUACCUUUGCUGCAGCUAACAUAAAGGAGAUUAGUUCUUGUGCUGACUGAUGCAGGAUUCACAAAGACAGGCUUCGGCCGACUUUGUAAACUCGAUCUCAAAUCAAGUAAGACUACCCGCUGAACUUAAGCAUAUCAAUAAGCGGAGGA
rnacentral:misc_RNA from 1 species